rnacentral:rRNA from 1 species
GACGAACGCUGGCGGCGUGCUUAACACAUGCAAGUCGAACGGAAAGGCCCUGCUUUUGUGGGGUGCUCGAGUGGCGAACGGGUGAGUAACACGUGAGUAACCUGCCCUUGACUUUGGGAUAACUUCAGGAAACUGGGGCUAAUACCGGAUAGGAGCUCCUGCUGCAUGGUGGGGGUUGGAAAGUUUCGGCGGUUGGGGAUGGACUCGCGGCUUAUCAGCUUGUUGGUGGGGUAGUGGCUUACCCAGGCUUUGACGGGUAGCCGGCCUGAGAGGGUGACCGGCCACAUUGGGACUGAGAUACGGCCCAGACUCCUACGGGAGGCAGCAGUGGGGAAUAUUGCACAAUGGGCGGAAGCCUGAUGCAGCAACGCCGCGUGCGGGAUGACGGCCAUCGGGUUGUAAACCGCUUUCGCCUGUGACGAAGCGUGAGUGACGGUAAUGGGUAAAGAAGCACCGGCUAACUACGUG